AACGAACGCUGGCGGCAUGCCUAACACAUGCAAGUCGAACGAGACCUUCGGGUCUAGUGGCGCACGGGUGCGUAACGCGUGGGAACCUGCCUUUAGGUUCGGAAUAACUCAGAGAAAUUUGAGCUAAUACCGGAUGAUGUCUUCGGACCAAAGAUUUAUCGCCUUUAGAUGGGCCCGCGUUGGAUUAGCUAGUUGGUGGGGUAAAGGCCUACCAAGGCGACGAUCCAUAGCUGGUCUGAGAGGAUGAUCAGCCACACUGGGACUGAGACACGGCCCAGACUCCUACGGGAGGCAGCAGUGGGGAAUAUUGGACAAUGGGCGAAAGCCUGAUCCAGCAAUGCCGCGUGAGUGAUGAAGGCCUUAGGGUUGUAAAGCUCUUUUACCCGAGAAGAUAAUGACAGUAUCGGGAGAAUAAGCUCCGGCUAACUCCGUG
rnacentral:rRNA from 1 species